AUUCUGAAACUCAAACACAUAUACAUACAUACACCUAUACAUACAAUCUCACCAGGUAUAUUCGGUGCUUCGAUUCCCUCCCCUAAAAACACUCUCUCUUCCCUCUUUACCCACAACAAUCUUUAUUUCUUUAUAAAUAAAUAAAAACACACACAUAAUAAAAAUCGAGCAUAGAUUUACAAGCAAUGUUUGGAGCGGACACAACUAUUUCGUGACUCACCUUUUAUUCCAAGUUGUUACUCAAUUCUCGGAUCUGUGUCUUACAUUUCGAUGUCUGAUCACAUUUGUAAAUGGCUGCUUCGGUGGGUAUGCAUUCAUGAAAAAGUGCUGAUGAUGAUGGUAGCAUAAAAUGGGUCGGUGAUUCUCUGUCAAAUGUCAAUAAUUGCGAUCUAGUUUACCUGGGAUGAGUUAUUAUUAGGAUGUAUAGAAGAUUAAGAUAGUAUAUAUAGAGUAGAGCAUGUUUGUUUCUUAGUUUAGCUGGUGGCAUUUUAAUUUUUAAGUUGCUUCUCGAAUAACAAAAAACAAAAAAGAGGCUAGCUCCGGGAGAAGUUGACAGGUGUACUAAAGUUGUAAUUUCAGAAGCUCGGUGAUUAGUUUAAUGGAGGAAAUUGUGGUCCUGCAUGGUUCAAAACAGAACUCACAGUUCUCUGUCCGUAAAUACUUGCCAAGCGGGUCCACCAAAGAUCCUUGGCUUGUUGUCCGUGAAGGGUCGGUGGCUGAUGUAGAUGCCUCAUUAGCACUACUGAAAAAGAAUGGGGGAAAUAUCAACACAAGGAAUGCGUUUGGUCUAACCCUUCUUCAUAUUGCGACUUGGAGAAAUCAUGUUCCAAUAGUGAGGAGGCUACUUGAGGCUGGCGCAGACCCUAAUGCUAGGGAUGGAGAAUCGGGAUGGACAAGCCUUCAUCGAGCUCUGCAUUUUGGUUAUCUUGCAGUGGCGAGUGUCCUUCUCCAGGAGGGUGCAUCUAUCACAUCGGAAGACUUCAAAUCUCGUACACCUGUUGAUCUUCUCUCUGGUCCUGUGCUGCAGACUUUAGGAAAUGAAGAGAAUUCAGUAGCUACAGAAUUGUUUAGCUGGGGAAGUGGUGUUAAUUAUCAACUUGGAACUGGAAACGCACAUAUUCAGAAGUUGCCAUGUAAAGUUGAUUCACUUCAUGGUUCUUUUAUUAAAUUAGUUUCUGCUGCAAAGUUUCAUAGUGUAGCAGUUAGUGCUAAAGGGGAAGUUUAUACUUGGGGGUAUGGAAGAGGAGGGCGGCUUGGGCAUCCGGAUUUUGAUAUCCACAGCGGUCAAGCUGCUGUUAUUACUCCCCGGAAAGUGACUUCUGGUUUAGGGUCCCGUCGAGUUAAGGCAAUUGCAGCAGCUAAACAUCACACUGUUGUUGCAACAGAGGGUGGCGAGGUGUUCACUUGGGGUUCCAAUAGAGAGGGUCAACUUGGUUAUACAUCGGUGGAUAGCCAAGCCACGCCUCGGAGAGUUAGUUCCUUAAAGUCAAAGAUAGUUGCUGUUGCAGCAGCAAACAAACAUACUGCUGUGGUUUCUGAGUCUGGUGAGGUCUUUACAUGGGGCUGCAAUAAAGAUGGCCAACUUGGAUAUGGAACUUCCAAUUCUGGCUGGAAUUACACUCCAAGAGUGGUUGAAUACUUGAAAGGAAAAGUUUUUGUUGGAGUUGCAGCAGCUAAAUAUCACACAAUUGUUUUGGGAGUUGAUGGAGAGGUGUUCACUUGGGGUCAUCGACUUGUUACUCCUAGGCGUGUAGUGAUAGCUAGAAAUAUCAAAAAGAUAGGGAGCACACCAUUAAAGUUUCAUCGCAAGGAACGGCUUCAUGUAGUUUCUAUAGCUGCUGGGAUGGUACAUAGCAUGGCUCUUACAGAUGAUGGUGCAGUAUUUUGUUGGUUGUCAUCAGAUCCUAAUCUACGAUGUCGACAGCUCUAUUCGCUUUGUGGAAGGACUAUGGUCAGUAUAUCUGCCGGGAAGUAUUGGACUGCCGCGGUAACUGCUACUGGUGAUGUAUAUAGGUGGGAUGGCAAGGAUGGGAAGGAUGAGCAACCUGUAGCAACGCGGUUACAUGGUGCAAAAAAAGCAUCUUCAGUUUCUGUCGGCGAGACGCAUCUUUUAUUUAUCAGUUCUCUCUAUCAUCCUACUUACCCUCCCAGUGUUCUCCAUCAUUCUCAAAAUCUCAAACUAAAGGUUGACGAUGAAUUGGAAGAAUUAGAGGUAAAUUUUGUUUAUGAUGAUGCGGAAACCGAUAAUGCCCUAUUUACCAUACAAGAGGAGAACACGGGAACCUUACCUGUUCCGAGUUUGAAAAGCCUAUGUGAGAAAGUGGCAGCAGAGUUUUUGGUGGAGCCGCAUAGUGCAAUCCAACUUCUUGAGAUCGCAGAUUCGCUUGGAGCAGAUGAUCUGAGGAAGCACUGUGAGGAUAUUGUAAUCCGCAACCUUGAUUAUAUACUCACGGUCUCAACACAUGCUGUUGCUACUGCUUCAUUAGAUAUCUUAGCUUCCCUUGAGAAAUCACGGGAUUUAAAGUCAUCAGAAUUAUGGAGUUACCGGCGGCUACCAACACCCACAGCUACUUUUCCUGCUGUAAUCAACAGUGAGGAAGAGGAUAAUGAGGAUGGUUUUAUAAGGACUUCCGACAACCACAACAAAUUGUUAACCUCGAUGAAAGAUAAAUACCAGAGACUAGACAACUUUCUUCAUCCCGAUGAAGAUGUAAAUCAAGGCAUUUGUCGACAAGUACGAGCUCUGAGAAAGAAGUUGCAGCAGAUUGAAAUCCUUGAGGAGAAGCAGGCAAAUGGAUUUCACCUGGAUAACCAGCAGAUUGCGAAGAUCCAAACAAGGUCUUCAUUGGAGAGCUCACUUGCUGAACUUGGUUCACCAGUUAGUAGUAUCACAACAAAAGCAGCAUCUCCAAUCAACUCAGAUGGGAAAGCCAAUAAAAAGGUGGAGGCAUCUAGAAAACAAAGGAGGAAAAGUAAACAUAAGGUAACAGAGGCGGAGGUGAUGUCUGGCAAUGAUGAGAUCCAUGUUGAAGCGAAUCCUGUCAAGGGUUUCUCCCCUCUUGAUAUAUCUUGGUUGAAACAGAAGGAGGAUGCCGUGCUUGAAGUAAGUGUCACUAAGCAAGUCAAUAACGAAGAAAGCUUCAUUCAAAAAGGUUUUGAUAAUAUGCCAAGUAAAAUUUCUUCACCUGCCGCUUCAAAAAAGAAAAAGAAGAAGGGUGGCCUUUCAAUGUUUCUAAGUGGAGCUCUUGAUGAUUCUCCCAAAGUUGCGGUUCCUUCACCACCAACUCCCAAAGUUGAGGGCCCUGCGUGGGGCGGUAAUAAAAUAUCAAAGGGGCGCACCUCUCUUCGUGAUAUACAGGAUGAACAGAGUAAAACUAUGGAAUAUAAGACUACUAGGAACAAAGAUCAAGUAGAUGAACAUAGUAAAACUAAGGAAUAUAAGCCUUUUAGGAACAAAGAUCAAGUAGAGGAUCCUUUGGAUGGUAAAAGUGGGGGAAAAGUGUUACUGAGCUCAUUCUUGCCUUCCACUCCGAUACCUAUGGUUUCCCCUGGUGCAGCAUCUCAGGUACCUGACGGUGAAAGAGGAACCCCUCCUUGGGCUUCUUCGGGGACCCCACCUCUUAUGUCUCGCCCAUCUCUGAGGGACAUCCAAUGGCAACAGCAUGGAAAACAACAGCAAAGUCUGGCCCACAGUCCAAAGACAAGAACUACUGGGUUUUCGGUAAAUACUAGCCCAACAUGCCCAUCAGAUUCCGCAGUUUCUAAUAAGUGGUUCAAGCCAGAGGUUGAUGUACCCUCAUCGAUCCGCUCAAUUCAAAUCGAAGAGAGGGCUAUGAAAGACCUUAAACGCUUCUACAGCAAUGUCAAACUUGUUAAGAACCAGUCUUGAGAGACUGUUCCAAUUUAAAAUUGAUGGAUGGUAUACUUUUUCCGGUAUACAUUCUCUUUCCUAACUUCCUGUUGUAAAUUGACAGAUUUCAUGCAUCCACCUUUUUUUAACUUUACAAGGUCCUCGUAAUUGUUCUUCACAGGUGAGAAGAAUGUGGAAGAAUGACGAGGAUGUGUUUAUAGUGAAUAAGAAAGGAUUUAGUGGGCAAUUAGCCACAAAACCUUCCAAUUGUAUAUAUUUAGAAAGUUAGUGAAUAAAAAGGGUUUGUAGUUUGGACCCAUAAAGAAGAACCAAAUAAUGCAUGUCCCCAGUAAAAGAGAAAGUGGGUAGGGACUGCAAAGUGAUUAGAACGUUUGUUGAAAUAUAUGGUCAUUGAGAGCCAUAUAAUUUCCAACACUUUAGAAGUGAGAGACAGGACAGGUUUAGUCAAGAAAAUAAUGUAAGCUAUAAUCAUCUCAACUUUUAUUUCUUUAUUUCUUUUCCAUUAAUGUUUAGAUGGGGCUUUCUGAGA